UCUGGACCCGGUGAAAGCCCGGGUGGCUCUUCCGGCCGCUGAUCCGCCGGAUAACC
rfam:Pontibaca methylaminivorans strain DSM 21219 genome assembly, contig: Ga0104525_11